GCUUCUCUAGGCACUUCCUGUCCCUGAUGUAAACCAAGCAGCAGAGAAUGGGAACACACCACUUCAUGCUGCAGUAAACACUGGGAAAAUCCACCUUGUCUCCCUCCUUUUGCAUUACCCUGGAAUUAACGUGAAUGUCCAAAACCCCCAGUGUGAUGGUGCAACUCCACUACAUCUUGCUAUUGCUUACGGGCAUCUGGCAAUUUCCUACUUGCUGCUGACUGCUGCAGCUGAUGUAGAAAGUCCCCUAGGUGAGAUGACACCUUUGCAACUUGCUGAAAUGUUUGGUAACGAAAGCAUAACCAGGCUUAUUGAAAAGUAUGUAAGGAAAUGUAGACUUGAAAAUAAAAUGCUUGUCUGAUCAGCUUGUUG
ensembl:lncRNA